CCACGGUGUGGUUCAUGACUGGGGUGAAGUCGUAACAAGGUAGCCGUAGGGGAACCUGCGGCUGGAUCACCUCCUUAAACGA
rnacentral:rRNA from 2 species